UUGUAGAGAAAAAGAAACAUCAAUUUUUAUUUUCUAAAAUCUGAGAUAUUUGAAGUUCUUUUUCUGAUUCUUCCAUGUCAACAAAAGAAAUAAUAGAUUAAUUUAGAAGGUAAUCAUGUAGAGAGAAGCAUCGAUCAUUCCCUGUCCAUAUCGUUUUCAUCUCCACGAUGCAAGAUUGGAAUGGUUCCAGAUAAUCGAAAUAGGAAACAUAUUGGGGGAGAUUCGUUUAUUACAAUAAAGUCAGCAGGUGAUUCAAUCUUAUCAGUUGUGGACAGCCAUAUAUGAUUUGAGAUAGGCAUCAGAAACUAAACAAUGGGAGUUUUCCUUCACUUAGCCUCACUCACAAGGAGGUGGGUGGAUUUUCUACACAAAUCGCGUGAUGGUCAGAGAGAUUAUCCAACCUUCGUAAUUCUUGUAUCUGUUGACUUGGUUCUUGAGGGAAAUGGGUCAAAGUAUUUCAAGUUAUAUCCUAACGGAUCUUGUGCCCCCUUUAUCUUUGUCCACAAAUAAAUACCAUUCUGCAUCAGAUAAAAGUUAUGUUUUUUCUUCGGAGGCUGUGAAGAUAAAUUCAGCUGGUCUUUGUGUUGUUAAAAUUCAUCUGAUCAAUUCGUUUCUGUGGGAUGAUCUACUAUUUAAAGUCCUCCUGCAAUUUAAGUUGAGGUACCACUGCAUAGAGAAGAACAGUAAGAAGGGGUUAACGUGUAAGGGCAUUCGAGUCAAGAUGAGGAACAAACUAUUCUCUUCAGUUUAUCAACCGUGUUAGAUCCUGUAGUCCUAUUCUGUAUAUUACUUUCAGAGGUUAGUUGAUAUUCUAAGCAAUGACUAAUAAAAGUGUCUGAUACUGUAUAUAUAGAUUCAUCAAUUAGAAAAGGUUGAAGUGCAGGUGACAAAAGUGCAUAAAUGUAACAAAGUACUGCUAUCAGCACUAAGCGUCUUGAAGGUAAUUUGAUUAAGGGACGAACAUCUUUCAAGAAAUCAAAGGUAGCAGCCAUAAUGAGAUGUGUAAUUGGUGGAAGAAAACAUUUGGAAAUCAAGCAGUUUAAACACAAAUCUCGCAUAAGAUCCUCGUGGAAGGCAAGGAAAAUCUGUGUAUUUUCUAUUUAAUUUUUGAAGAUAAACAAUUGGGGGGAAAAUAAUUAAAGGUUAUGUAAUUUUCGAAAAAGGAUGGGCUUGAGCUUGUUAGUUUUGAGUUGUAAUCGUGGAACCCAAACUUACAUUUGUACUAAUAUAGACAGUGACAGGAUUGUAAAUAAGUUGGAACUUGA